rnacentral:rRNA from 1 species
CCUACGGGAGGCAGCAGUGGGGAAUAUUGGGCAAUGGGCGGAAGCCUGACCCAGCGACGCCGCGUGAGGGAAGAAGGCCUUUGGGUCGUAAACCUCUGUUGUAUGGGAAGAAGGAAGUGACGGUACCAUACGAGGAAGUCCCGGCUAACUACGUGCCAGCAGCCGCGGUAAUACGUAGGGGACGAGCGUUGUCCGGAAUUACUGGGCGUAAAGGGCGCGCAGGCGGAUAUUUAAGUCAGCUGUAAAAGGCAUGAGCUCAACUCAUGUAUGCGGUUGAAACUGGGUAUCUAGAGUGCUGGAGAGGUAGGCGGAAUUCCCGGUGUAGCGGUGAAAUGCGUAGAUAUCGGGAAGAACACCAGUGGCGAAGGCGGCUUACUGGCCAGCAACUGGCGCUGAGGCGCGAAAGCCAGGGGAGCGAACG